rnacentral:rRNA from 1 species
GCGGCAUGCUUAAACAUGCAAGUCGAACGCUCGGUUUCGGCCGAGAGUGGCGAACGGGUGCGUAACACGUAGGUGAUUUGCCCAGAAGUGGGGGAUAACCAUUGGAAACGAUGGCUAAUACCGCAUGUGCUUGAUUUCGGUCAAGUAAAGCGUUUGGAAGCGCUUCUGGAGAAGCCUGCGGCCUAUCAGGUAGUUGGUGGGGUAAUGGCCUACCAAGCCGAUGACGGGUAGCUGACCUGAGAGGGUGGUCAGCCACAGGGGAACUGAGACACGGUCCCCACUCCUACGGGAGGCAGCAGUGAGGAAUAUUGCACAAUGGGCGCCAGCCUGAUGCAGCAAUGCCGCGUGCAGGAUGAAACCCCUCGGGGUGUAAACUGCUUUUGCAUGGGAGCAGCAAGGAGCGUACCAUGCGAAUAAGUCACGGCUAACUACGUGCCAGCAGCCGCGGUAAGACGUAGGUGGCAAACGUUAUCCGGAAUUACUGGGCGUAAAGGGUCCGUANGCGGUCUUAUAGGUCUGACGUGAAAGCCCAUGGCUCAACUUUGGGAUGCCGUUAGAAACCAUUUGACUUGAAUCACG